GACGAACGCUGGCGGCGUGCCUAAUACAUGCAAGUCGAACGCAUUUUCUUUCACCGUAGCUUGCUACACCGAAAGAAAAUGAGUGGCGAACGGGUGAGUAACACGUGGGUAACCUGCCCAUCAGCGGGGGAUAACACUUGGAAACAGGUGCUAAUACCGCAUAAUUCCAUUUACCGCAUGGUAAAUGGAUGAAAGGCGCUUUUGCGUCACUGAUGGAUGGACCCGCGGUGCAUUAGCUAGUUGGUGGGGUAACGGCCUACCAAGGCUGCGAUGCAUAGCCGACCUGAGAGGGUGAUCGGCCACACUGGGACUGAGACACGGCCCAGACGCCUACGGGAGGCAGCAGUAGGGAAUCUUCGGCAAUGGACGCAAGUCUGACCGAGCAACGCCGCGUGAUUGAAGAAGGUUUUCGGAUCGUAAAACUCUGUUGUUAGAGAAGAACAAGGAUGAGAGUGGAAAGUUCAUCCCUUGACGGUAUCUAACCAGAAAGCCACGGCUAACUACGUG
rnacentral:rRNA from 1 species